AUAGCACACACCUUCAAGAAACCAACACUUCAAUAACAAUGGCUGUCAAAAUGAGCGCGGUUCGUAUGCUUGGAUUUCUGUUUUGUAUUUUUUUGUGUCUGCAGCGUAAUGAUGCUAACCCGAUUCCAGAUGCAGAUGAAAGUGACAGUUAUGUCGAAGAACACCCAGAAGAAUUCGGUGACCACUUCGAAGGAGACAUGAUCGUGUCUAACGUAAGAAACGCACUCACCCAGAAGUCAAAACGUUGGCCCGGUGGAAGAGUUUACUAC